AUACCCUAUUAUUUUAAGUGUUAAUUUUACUUACCUGGGUACUAUUAGUUAGGAUCUUUAAACCCAAAGAAUUUGGCGGUACCUUAUUCCAUUCAGAGGAACCUACCCCGUAAUUGAUAAUACACGAUUUACUUUACUUAAUUUAUUUGUUUGUAUAUCUCCGUUAUCAGAAAAUCUUGUUGGAGUUAUAAUUUUCUUGAUUUAUGAUUGUAAAAUAUUUCAGGUCAAGGUGCAGCUUAUAAUUAAGAGGAGGUGGGUUACAAUAAAUUUUUGUUUAUUAUGGAUUUAAUAGUUAAACACUAUUAAUGAAGGUGGAUUUGAUAGUAAUUUGAUUAAGUUAUUUUAAUUGAUAUUGGCUCUAAGGUGUGUACACAUCGCCCGUCGCUCUCA
rnacentral:rRNA from 1 species